rnacentral:rRNA from 1 species
AUACGUAGGGUGCGAGCGUUGUCCGGAUUUAUUGGGCGUAAAGGGCUCGUAGGUGGUUGAUCGCGUCGGAAGUGUAAUCUUGGGGCUUAACCCUGAGCGUGCUUUCGAUACGGGUUGACUUGAGGAAGGUAGGGGAGAAUGGAAUUCCUGGUGGAGCGGUGGAAUGCGCAUAUAUCAGGAGGAACACCAGCGGCGAAGGCGGUUCUCUGGGCCUUUCCUGACGCUGAGGAGCGAAAGCGUGGGGAGCGAACAGGCCUAGAUACCCUGGUAGUCCACGCUGUAAACGGUGGGUACUGGGUGUGGGGUCCAUUCCACGGGUUCCGUGCCGUAGCUAACGCUUUAAGUACCCCGCCUGGGGAGUACGGCCGCAAGGCUAAAACUCAAAUGAAUUGACGGGG